rnacentral:rRNA from 1 species
AUUGAACGCUGGCGGCAGGCUUAACACAUGCAAGUCGAGCGGAGAUGAGGUGCUUGCACCUUAUCUUAGCGGCGGACGGGUGAGUAAUGCUUAGGAAUCUGCCUAUUAGUGGGGGACAACAUUCCGAAAGGAAUGCUAAUACCGCAUACGUCCUACGGGAGAAAGCAGGGGAUCUUCGGACCUUGCGCUAAUAGAUGAGCCUAAGUCGGAUUAGCUAGUUGGUGGGGUAACGGCCUACCAAGGCGACGAUCUGUAGCGGGUCUGAGAGGAUGAUCCGCCACCCUGGGACUGAGACACGGCCCAGGCUCCUACGGGAGGCAGCAGUGGGGAAUAUUGGACAAUGGGGGGAACCCUGAUCCAGCCAUGCCGCGUGUGUGAAGAAGGCCUUAUGGUUGUAAAGCACUUUAAGCGAGGAGGAGGCUACUCUAGUUAAUACCUAGGGAUAGUGGACGUUGCUCGCAGAAUAAGCACCGGCUAACUCUGUGCCAGCCGCCGCGGUAA